CCAUCUGGACUGAUUAGUUGCAGAACUAGGACGUUUUCUUGGACGUCAACAGCACAGAAUACCAAAAGCUAACCAUCUUUUAUUUUUCAAACUGAUAAUUUGUUUUUAAUUCCUACUGAUCAAUAUUUUUGAUUCAAACCAUUUUUUGUCCUUGCACACACAUCAAGCUGUCAUGUAUACCUUCUUUGAAGAAGUAGCAAUCAUCUCAUCAUAUACAUAAUUUUUUCCACAUAAUACAUGUACAUGGAUAACAUAUACAGCACACCGACUACACAUUUUCUUACAUGAAUGACAUACACCACACCGACUGCACAUUUUCUUGCUAUUAGAAGCCUCUUCAGAUUUAAAGGUUUGUACUGGGCAUAACAAAUUAGCCAACAACCGAAUUACGAAGGUCAAAGUUCUUGAAUUACAGACCAAAAAACAAGCAAACAAAGAAUAAAUAGAGGAUUGCCAGGGUCUAAGAGAGAUCAAUUGCAAUACACUCUCACUCCAUUUUUCACUCAGUAAUAGCAUGACUGAAUAAGAAGUUCAAAACUGGAGCAGUAGCACUUUCACUCCAUUUUUCCUUUCAGUAUCGUUGGACACGAGCUCCUUGAGAAAGCUUGCAUGGUCAGUAGCAUAUUGGUCCUGCAAUUGUGUCGACGUGGAGAAGGAGCCUGCAGGUCAUCCCGCAACAGGGUAACUUCUCUGCACUACAACAAAUCGAAAGCAGUAAAUGUACAUAUUUUGGACAUACAAGCAUAAUGGAAAUUUGCAGAAAUAACAUGGUGUUCCUGAUAGAUAGUACUGAUGCUUUGGGAAAUUUCGAAGAGAGAAAAGAACAGAGAAAAGUGCUGAUGCUUCAGAAUUUAUCAAUAAUACUUGGCCACCAAAACCCCCAUAAUUUUCCUAGCAACCUCGUCCAAUUGCAUUACUCAUAACAUGAUCUAUAGAGAGCCUUACACAUCCCAAAUAAAAUGCAUGCAGAGAUGGGUGGCCACCAGCUUGUUUAUAUCAGAAAUUUUAAGAAGCCAAUGAACUUCAGCUUGACAAGUAGAUCAAUACAACAUGCAACUUAUGUAGUUGCUUAACUCUAAACACAUGGUCAAAAUUUUAGUCACUUAAGAACUAUAACAAUAAAGCAUUACCACACUGAUUUACUUGUUUCACUAUUAAAAAUGGGUUUCAAACACAACUUCUAAGCAGACAGUGCUUACUUUUGCUCUCCCACUUGGACUGAACAGGCAAAAACAGAACACAUCACUUGCGCUAACAAUCCGGAAAUCCAAUGAACACAAACAACAUAGAAUUAUUCCGAUACCUCGGGCGAAUGGCUCUGCAUAUGUCGCUUCAGAUGCGUCUAAAGGAUGCUAUGCAGAUGUAAAAGUUCAUGUUGUUUUUCCACAACCAUGAACUGAUGUAGGUUCCAGGGAAGAACUACUUUUAGUUUGCAAAGUGAACAUCCACACUUCACUUCUUUUAUCUUUGCAUAAUGAGCUAGUGAAAUUUACAACAUUACUUUCUAUUUUUCUUAUAUAAUGUACUGUGUAAAUUUUUGCAUCUGAACUUUCUUAUCAUUUUUUUGAACUUCACUAGUUCACAAAAACCUAGUAUAUUUUCAAAAUAAAGCCAUGAGAAAGAAGAGAAGUAUUAAAAUUAAUAAAACAUUAGAUGGGUGGAUUAGUAGAUGCACGUACACUUCAUAUUCUAAUGGGCAUCACUAGGAGCACUAGCCUUUUUCUCUUUGUUGCUAUACGAAUAGGUGCGCACAUCCUGUCUUUUUUUAAAGCGUUGAAGUCUCAUGGAUAAAGCAUCAAACAUGUUUUAGGCAAUCCAGUGCUCUCUCUCACCUAUUUGCUAAAAUGAACAAAGAACAUGUUGCGGGUUUCAUUUCGAACUUGCUUGGAAGUAAUACUUGUACUCUAGUCCAAGUACCAGUAUAAUGCUUAUAGUCUGUAAACAAAAAAAAGAUGCCGAAUUUACAAACGAAAAGCUUCAAAUAAAAGUUAAAACAAUAGAGAAACUAUGAAGCAAAUAGCAUCAGUGAUCUUCUAACUGAAGCACCAUAUUUUUACUGAUAUUUUUUUGUCAAUGAACUUCUGCAAUUUAGGUACUAGAACUCACUGAUGCUAUUUACUAUUUGUUUUUAAGGCAUUUUCAGUACAUGCCAAACAUUUGUUUUUUAAACACAUCCACAGGUUAAAUAUAUGCAUGUCAAUUUUCACAGUUGGAAGUAAUUUGAGCUAUCUCAAAACAUCAAACUGAUACAUACAUUCAUGAACAAAACCGGUACAAGCAAUACAAAAUCCCUACUGUUUGCAAAUGUUCCAUAGAAUAUCUUAUCAUGAACGGACUGGUGAACUUACAGAGGAUUUGUUUCCAGCGACCUUCCUGGUGGUUCAGGUUUAUUUAUUUCUCGAGCUCUAAUUUUUUAGCUUGCCCGACAUCUAAACAUGAACUACACGAUACUUGUACUGAUAUUUUCUUUGUCAAUGAACUUCUGCAAUUUAGGUACUAGAAACUCACUGAUUUACUCUCCGUUUUUAAGGCAUUUUCAGUACAUGCCAAUCAUUUGUUUUUUAGACACAUCCACAGGUUAAACGGAUCAGUACAUGAAACUUGCACUGAAUCGGUUAAACUCUGAAUAUGUUCAGAGAACAUGAGGCUCUCAUGUACUCUAGGUUACACACCAAACCUAGCUUUUACCAUGAUGCACCUUCUACUAUGGAAUGUAGACACGGAAACAAUACAAUUUCUUAUAAAGCUUCCUAGCCCAUUCACUUCAACCUUUAGAAGACAAACUUAUUUUUCGGGAGAGAAUAUAAGAUGAUUUCUAAACUGCAGUUUUUUGCACUGAAUUCUUAUCACUCUUAUAUUGAACUUUUCUAACCUGCAGUUGCCCAGAAGCCAUCCCAAGUCAGGCUAGACACAGACGUCCGGUUGGCACUUUCCGGCCACCUUGUCGGCCACACAGACAUACCGCUGGUCGAUGUAUCUCGUCGUCAAGGGGAAGAGCCGAGGAAGGUUCCCUGGCACAACGCAACAUGAGUGACCAGAUUGGUAUUUCUAUCUGGAGGUGGUGGUGGUGGGUUAGGGGCGCGACAGCCAUGGGAGCAGGUGCAUCGGGGGUUGGCGAGGGAACUGGUGGCGGAGGGAGCGGGGGCCAGGGCGGCUGAUCUGGGCGAGGUCGCGACGGUGGAGGUAGGUGGUGUCGGUGGGCAAGGGGCAUGCAUCAGCAGCAGUAGAAAGGUUGCAGCUGAGCCAGAGAAUCGUAGGUGCAGUAGCAGCUUGCAGCAAGGAGCAGCCUGCACUCAGCUCCUUGAGUGACCGACCACAAAACAAGAAGUUGUACUAUUGAGCAGGAGGUCCUCGACCCCGUGACUCCUCCAGCAGGCUCCACUGUUUGCCGUUGAAUUAUAAGCCAUGGCAUUGGAGUGGGACGUGGAUCCACAUCGACGACAUUGAACGGACAGGGGUGGUGGCUGCGAACUGCCUGUACGCGGUGGUGGCGUAGCACCAUCGGGGAGGAGGCAGGGUGGUGGUAGGGGAGCAUCACCGGCUGCCGGAGGAUAAGUUGCCAAUUCCGUAUUCUAUUUCUGCAUUGAACUUAAGUGCAUUGUUGAUUUGAAGUUUUCUAACACAUAUUCACUGAACUCGGUCACCCUGAAUGUAUAUUUUUAUAGUUAUGUUGGCAGGAGGCUAUGUAAUACAUCUCAGCAAUUGUUUCUGGGUGAGUUUCAAAAAAUAUAAUACUAAGUGAACAGUACAACCUGACCUAACUAGAUAUGCAACAUGCAGUAGACAUGUUCAGUGUCUCAACUUUUCACAAAAAACUGCAGAUGUACUAUCAUCUAUGCAAAAUGUAUCAUAGAAAUAAUGGAGAAGGCUUAGUUAAAAUGGGAACACCUUGUUCAGUUUUGAUCAAAUUAAUAUCACAAAGAGCACUCGCUACCUUCUCUACAGAGGAGUGCGUUUGUGAAUGGAAGAGGCCUCUGAACUUUUUUGCUUUCUCAACUCUUAACUUUUUGUAUUCUUGUACUUCACCCACCCCUAUAAAUUUCUAUACUUUUUAGUGGCUUUUGUUGGUGAGCCCUCCUGUUUCCCUGAUCUGAACGUUCAUAAGGUUUAUUCUGAGUAUAAAAAACAAGAAAUAAAGUGUUUUGUUCACAAUUAAGCUUAUAAGCACUGCAAGACAAUCAAGGUUGAGAGAAUAUAGUGAGCACCAUGUCUAAUUCUCAAGUCAGUGGUUGGUCCAAAAAAAUUAUGAGGUUAGUGCCUCCAUAGAAGUAACAACAAGUUGUUGUACUAUGUGUGAGAGAUUGUUUGUUUUGUAUAGAACUGAUGUUGUUUUGCAAGGUGGACUUAAGACACUUUUUACAUGAGAACUGAUGUUGUUUAUCAGACACUACCUCUGUAACUAAAUGCAAGACAUUUUUGCAGUACUUCCCUAAAUCCUAUAAGUGCAGACCAAAUACAGUUACAGAAAUACUACACUAGGAGGUAUCAAUCAAUCUAAUCCAUAGCACAUUCUGCUAAUAUGUGUGUGUGAUCCGUAGCCCAUAGCCUAUGUGUGAUUUGUUCCAAUUAAUCCAUGCAUUUUUUAUCCUCUCCUGCCUGCAGCUAUGGCUAGACCCGUUGAAGAGGUGGGGAGUUUUAAGUUAAUGAUUUGCUUUAAGAAACUUCAGACAAGAGCGGAGUAAAGGCUGGAAGGUAAAACUACUAUUAGCAUAUGUACCUUUUUGUAGCAUCUCAUCUCCUUUGCUUCAAGUUUGAGCACUUUGAUAUGGUCAGCCUCUUUCAUUUUGCAAGUGCCGGUAGUCCACGAAUUGAAACUAGUUCUAGAAAAUGGUCAAGUGACAAUACCUCUACUAAUGGACGAUUACUGAGCCAAAUGCCCAUUUCUUGUCUAUAGAAAAUACUAUUUUUUACUUUCCUUAGUGAUGCAACUACCUUCAGAUUAAAAGUAUCUAGAUAACACCCAUCCAUUAAACUACACAUAUUUGACAUCAUUUUCACGCCUGAUAAUACAUCCAUCUCAAAGUAUCAACUAUUAGCUCACAAAGUAUCAAAUACCACAAGAACUUGAAAAAGAAUUUUCACUUCACAAAACUACCAGCUAUGAGUUCACCAAGUCGAGAUGGACAACUCUUCGAGGUCUCAACUAUCAGUUCACACAAACUACAAAGCAUUGAGUUCAUCGAGUCUUAACUAUCAGUUCAUACAAACUACAAAGCAUGUAACUCAUAGUCUAAACUAUCAGUUCACACAAACUACAAAGGAUGAGGAGAGAGAGAGCAUGAGAGAGAGAAUCUUACCCAUCAGUUCAUAAAAACUAGAGAUCAGAAUAACAAUUAUCCAUAAUCUUUUUUUGGAUCCAUCAGCUAGUCUAUGACCAUGUUGUAGCUACGAGAGAGGGAGCAAGAACACCACAUAGCAAGAGAGUUGAUGCAUGAUCAACAGUUCAGGAGAUGGAAACAGAGCAGGACAAGUAGGCAAAUGAGAGAUAUGAUGGGAGG
rnacentral:lncRNA from 1 species